rnacentral:rRNA from 1 species
GACGAACCGUGCGAACGUUGUUCGGAAUCACUGGGCUUAAAGGGCGCGUAGGCGGCUUUGUAAGUCGGGGGUGAAAGCCUGUGGCUCAACCACAGAAUUGCCUUCGAUACUGCAUGGCUUGAGACCGGAAGAGGUUAGUGGAACUGCGAGUGUAGAGGUGAAAUGCGUAGAUAUCUGGAGGAACACCGGUGGCGAAGGCGGCAUCCUGGACCGAUACUGACGCUGAGGAGCGAAAGCCAGGGGAGCAAACGGG